UACGAAGGGGGGCUAGCGUUGUUCGGAAUCACUGGGCGUAAAGGGCGCGUAGGCGGCUUUAUAAGUCGGAGGUGAAAGCCCAGGGCUCAACCCUGGAAUUGCCUUCGAUACUGGGAGUCUUGAGUUCGGAAGAGGUUGGUGGAACUGCGAGUGUAGAGGUGAAAUUCGUAGAUAUUCGCAAGAACACCAGUGGCGAAGGCGGCCAACUGGUCCGAUACUGACGCUGAGGCGCGAAAGCGUGGGGAGCAAACAGGG
rnacentral:rRNA from 1 species